GGGUCAGCAGGUUGGUCGUGCCAAUGGUAUGUACUGGCUUUGCUGACUCCUCCCUCUUGAUGAGCCGUAAUGCCAUUAAUUUGGUGUUGCGGGGAAUCAGGACUGUUACUUUGAAAAAUUAGAGUGUUUAAAGCAGGCAAGCGCUUGAAUACAUUAGCAUGGAAUAAUGAAAUAGGACGUUUAAUCCUAUUUUGUUGGUUUCUAGGAUUGACGUAAUGAU
rnacentral:rRNA from 1 species